GCCGCGUUGGCUCAAUGGUAGAGCGUCGCCCUCCUACUGCUUGGAAAUUGAAAUACAUUUCAAGCUUGGGAUAUAGGCGAAGGCUGCGGGUUCGAGUCCCGUGCGUGGUA
rfam:Rhizoctonia solani AG-1 IA unplaced genomic scaffold scaffold18, whole genome shotgun sequence.